GAAAAUCUAAUAUAGAAAUAGAGUGAGAGAUGGAAAAUACCAAAAAAAUCACUAGAAACAUAUUGUUCAACCGUAGUUGAGAUAAUAUUCUUAAAAUCUUCUUUCACAAUGACAGCAUUACACCGCUGGUUGGCAAAAAUCAGAACUUCAAGAUAAGUUAAAAGUUUUGCUUAGGGUUAACAAUUCCAGAAAAGCGUUUGUAAAACCAUCCAAUCAGCGUACCUGUGUAUGUUCGCGCAAUAGCUGCAACAACUCCUAUCUUCUUCUUCUUGACUUCAUUAACGGCCGCAUCAAAGUUUAUUUUCACAUGUGAAGGAGUAGGAGGAGGCUGUCAAGAGGUAGGAGCAUGGCUUUCCCAGAUGAGAAGAGGUUAGCGUCCUAAAUAUUUGAUUAACAGCAAGGUAUACUUU
rnacentral:misc_RNA from 1 species